rnacentral:rRNA from 1 species
UGUUAGUAUGCAUUAAUACAAAAAAAAUUAAUGUUUAAAAUGUUAAAAAAAAAAGUUUUUAAUAUUGCUAACGGUUUAGUGACUUUGUCACCUAAAGUUCUAGAUAGAAUACUGAUUAUGACAAUUUACUAUCUAUGUGUCUUGACCAAAUUACGUGCCAGCAGUCGCGGUAAUACGUAGAAGACUAGUGUUAUUCAUCUUUAUUAGGUUUAAAGGGUACCUAGACGGUUUAAUUAGUCCAAAGUAGGAUACGGUUAGACUAGAGUUAUAUUUAAGAAGGUGAGUAUUUGUGGAGUAGAGUUGAAAUUCUGUGAUACCACGAGGACUGGUAAGGGCGAAAGCAACCUUCUAUCUAAUAACUGACGUUGAGGGACGAAGGCUCGGGUCGCAAAGAGGAUUAGAUACCCUAGUAGUCCAAGCAGACAAUGAUGAAUGCCAUAGAUUAGAUAAUAUUUAGUUUAUAAACGAAAGUGCAAGCAUUCCACCUCAAGAGUAAUGUGGCAACACAGGAACUGAAAUCAUUAGACC